rnacentral:rRNA from 2 species
GUGGCGAACGGGUGAGUAACACGUGGGCAAUCUGCCCUUCACUCUGGGACAAGCCCUGGAAACGGGGUCUAAUACCGGAUACUGACCCUCGCAGGCAUCUGCGAGGUUCGAAAGCUCCGGCGGUGAAGGAUGAGCCCGCGGCCUAUCAGCUUGUUGGUGAGGUAAUGGCUCACCAAGGCGACGACGGGUAGCCGGCCUGAGAGGGCGACCGGCCACACUGGGACUGAGACACGGCCCAGACUCCUACGGGAGGCAGCAGUGGGGAAUAUUGCACAAUGGGCGAAAGCCUGAUGCAGCGACGCCGCGUGAGGGAUGACGGCCUUCGGGUUGUAAACCUCUUUCAGCAGGGAAGAAGCGAAAGUGACGGUACCUGCAGAAGAAGCGCCGGCUAACUACGUGCCAGCAGCCGCGGUAAUACGUAGGGCGCAAGCGUUGUCCGGAAUUAUUGGGCGUAAAGAGCUCGUAGGCGGCUUGUCACGUCGGUUGUGAAAGCCCGGGGCUUAACCCCGGGUCUGCAGUCGAUACGGGCAGGCUAGAGUUCGGUAGGGGAGAUCGGAAUUCCUGGUGUAGCGGUGAAAUGCGCAGAUAUCAGGAGGAACACCGGUGGCGAAGGCGGAUCUCUGGGCCGAUACUGACGCUGAGGAGCGAAAGCGUGGGGAGCGAACAGGAUUAGAUACCCUGGUAGUCCACGCCGUAAACGGUGGGCACUAGGUGUGGGCAACAUUCCACGUUGUCCGUGCCGCAGCUAAC